UGGGGAAUAUUGCACAAUGGACGAAAGUCUGACGGAGCAACGCCGCGUGAGUGAAGACGGCCUUCGGGUUGUAAAGCUCUGUGAUCCGGGACGAAAGAGCCUGAGGUAAAUAGCCUAAGGAAGUGACGGUACCGGAAAAGCAAGCCACGGCUAACUACGUGCCAGCAGCCGCGGUAAUACGUAGGUGGCAAGCGUUGUCCGGAAUUAUUGGGCGUAAAGCGCGCGCAGGCGGCUUCCUAAGUCCAUCUUAAAAGUGCGGGGCUUAACCCCGGGAUGGGAUGGAAACUGGGAAGCUGGAGUAUCGGAGAGGAAAGUGGAAUUCCUAGUGUAGCGGUGAAAUGCGUAGAGAUUAGGAAGAACACCGGUGGCGAAGGCGACUUUCUGGACGAAAACUGACGCUGAGGCGCGAAAGCGUGGGGAGCAAACAGG
rnacentral:rRNA from 1 species